UGUGAACUCGAAGAGUAGGGCGGGACACGUGGUAUCCUGUCUGAAUAUGGGGGGACCAUCCUCCAAGGCUAAAUACUCCUGACUGACCGAUAGUGAACCAGUACCGUGAGGGAAAGGCGAAAAGAACCCCGGCGAGGGGAGUGAAAAAGAACCUGAAACCGUGUACGUACAAGCAGUGGGAGCACCUUCGGGUGUGACUGCGUACCUUUUGUAUAAUGGGUCAGCGACUUAUAUUCUGUAGCAAGGUUAACCGUAUAGGGGAGCCGCAGGGAAACCGAGUCUUAACUGGGCGUUAAGUUGCAGGGUAUAGACCCGAAACCCGGUGAUCUAGCCAUGGGCAGGUUGAAGGUUGGGUAACACUAACUGGAGGACCGAACCGACUAAUGUUGAAAAAUUAGCGGAUGACUUGUGGCUGGGGGUGAAAGGCCAAUCAAACCGGGAGAUAGCUGGUUCUCCCCGAAAGCUAUUUAGGUAGCGCCUCGUGAAUUCAUCUUCGGGGGUAGAGCACUGUUUCGGCUAGGGGGUCAUCCCGACUUACCAACCCGAUGCAAACUACGAAUACCGAAGAAUGUUAUCACGGGAGACACACGGCGGGUGCUAACGUCCGUCGUGAAGAGGGAAACAACCCAGACCGCCAGCUAAGGUCCCAAAGUCAUGGUUAAGUGGGAAACGAUGUGGGAAGGCACAGACAGCCAGGAUGUUGGCUUAGAAGCAGCCAUCAUUUAAAGAAAGCGUAAUAGCUCACUGGUCGAGUCGGCCUGCGCGGAAGAUGUAACGGGGCUAAACCAUGCACCGAAGCUGCGGCAGCGACACUAUGUGUUGUUGGGUAGGGGAGCGUUCUGUAAGCCUGCGAAGGUGACCUGUGAGGGUUGCUGGAGGUAUCAGAAGUGCGAAUGCUGACAUAAGUAACGAUAAAGCGGGUGAAAAGCCCGCUCGCCGGAAGACCAAGGGUUCCUGUCCAACGUUAAUCGGGGCAGGGUGAGUCGACCCCUAAGGCGAGGCCGAAAGGCGUAGUCGAUGGGAAACAGGUUAAUAUUCCUGUACUUGGUGUUACUGCGAAGGGGGGACGGAGAAGGCUAUGUUAGCCGGGCGACGGUUGUCCCGGUUUAAGCAUGUAGGCUGAUUGUCCAGGCAAAUCCGGAUAAUCAAGGCUGAGGUGUGAUGACGAGGCACUACGGUGCUGAAGUAACAAAUGCCCUGCUUCCAGGAAAAGUCUCUAAGCAUCAGGUAACAUCAAAUCGUACCCCAAACCGACACAGGUGGUCAGGUAGAGAAUACCAAGGCGCUUGAGAGAACUCGGGUGAAGGAACUAGGCAAAAUGGUGCCGUAACUUCGGGAGAAGGCACGCUGGUGUGUAGGUGAAGUCCCUGCGGAUGGAGCUGAGACCAGUCGAAGAUACCAGCUGGCUGCAACUGUUUAUUAAAAACACAGCACUGUGCAAACACGAAAGUGGACGUAUACGGUGUGACGCCUGCCCGGUGCCGGAAGGUUAAUUGAUGGGGUUAUCCGUAAGGAGAAGCUCUUGAUCGAAGCCCCGGUAAACGGCGGCCGUAACUAUAACGGUCCUAAGGUAGCGAAAUUCCUUGUCGGGUAAGUUCCGACCUGCACGAAUGGCGUAAUGAUGGCCAGGCUGUCUCCACCCGAGACUCAGUGAAAUUGAACUCGCUGUGAAGAUGCAGUGUACCCGCGGCAAGACGGAAAGACCCCGUGAACCUUUACUAUAGCUUGACACUGAACAUUGAGCCUUGAUGUGUAGGAUAGGUGGGAGGCUUUGAAGCGUGGACGCCAGUCUGCGUGGAGCCAACCUUGAAAUACCACCCUUUAAUGUUUGAUGUUCUAACGUUGGCCCCUUACCGGGGUUGCGGACAGUGUCUGGUGGGUAGUUUGACUGGGGCGGUCUCCUCCCAAAGCGUAACGGAGGAGCACGAAGGUUAGCUAAUCCUGGUCGGACAUCAGGAGGUUAGUGCAAUGGCAUAAGCUAGCUUGACUGCGAGCGUGACGGCGCGAGCAGGUGCGAAAGCAGGUCAUAGUGAUCCGGUGGUUCUGAAUGGAAGGGCCAUCGCUCAACGGAUAAAAGGUACUCCGGGGAUAACAGGCUGAUACCGCCCAAGAGUUCAUAUCGACGGCGGUGUUUGGCACCUCGAUGUCGGCUCAUCACAUCCUGGGGCUGAAGUAGGUCCCAAGGGUAUGGCUGUUCGCCAUUUAAAGUGGUACGCGAGCUGGGUUUAGAACGUCGUGAGACAGUUCGGUCCCUAUCUGCCGUGGGCGCUGGAGAAUUGAGGGGGGCUGCUCCUAGUACGAGAGGACCGGAGUGGACGCAUCACUGGUGUUCGGGUUGUCAUGCCAAUGGCACUGCCCGGUAGCUAAAUGCGGAAGAGAUAAGUGCUGAAAGCAUCUAAGCACGAAACUUGCCCCGAGAUGAGUUCUCCCUGAGACUUUAAGUCUCCUGAAGGAACGUUAAAGACGAUGACGUUGAUAGGCCGGGUGUGUAAGCGCAGCGAUGCGUUGAGCUAACCGGUACUAAUGAACCGUGAGGCUUAACCUU
rnacentral:rRNA from 1 species